CAAUUUCUUGCUAUAAACGUUAAGCUGUUUACAUUUUUAUGAACUUUCUUUUCUUCAUCACCUCUUUCUUUUAUCUGUUUCUUAGUCUUGUUCCUCAUGGGGGAAAAAAGGUAUUAUUUCAAAGAAGAAAGACAGGAAAAUGAGCCAGUAAAGGGCCAAUGGUAAUGGAGAGGUAGACUUUAGCUGAAGGCAAGGAAGAACUUUCUACAAUGUGGAAUUUUCUGAAUGUUCGUUAAAAAGUUACCUCACACUAUUAAGCUCUGCCUUGUUGGAGGACUUCAAAGAAAAGAGCCACCUCUUGCCUGCUGGCUUCCAGAUGGAAGCGUAGAGUGGAGAGUGGGGGCUGAAUGACUCCUGGUUCUGAGCUUGCCUGUCAGUGUCCGACAUCAUAGGACAUAAUAUUGCAUAACUCAUGGACUCUGCAUGAAUGGCGCCCCCUGGUGUAGCUUCAGUGCCCAGCAUCCUCCGACUCCUCAAAAGAAAGCACCAUUGUUGAACCUGGAACUCUUGAGCGUCCGCCUCUGUCUUUGAAUGUUGUAAGAGAGAAUCAUUAAGAGGAUGAAAAUAUGAGGGAUUUUCCUCCAUUCUGUAUGUGAAGCAGCAAGAAAAAAAAUGUGAAUUCUUUAGUUCUCUGCUAACUCAGGCUGCUUGGCAGAAGAGGCAAUAAAUUAUUUCUGCUCCAGACUCUGCCUGACUUGCGCCCUCAGCACAGUGGGCCAGGCCGUCUCCGGUUGCAAAACCUGAAGCAAGAACAAGGGUAGAUGAAGCCGCCGGCGAGCAGGCUAUCCCUCAUGUUGAAGGAGGGGUGACAGGAAGAGGUGACUCUGCACAUACUCAUCCCAUGACAACUUGUGAAGAGCCCUCAGCAUCCUCAGGCACGACUAUUUCUCCCUGUCCACAAACAAGUAUUGACUGAACAUCUAUGGUGGGUAAGACAGUUGGGACCUAGUCUUCCAAUGCACAGAAACAGAACAAAAUUGAACACGAGAGCUUUUACAGACAUGGCUGAACGUGCCUUUGUGACAUAACCUCUUCCAUCUGCCAUGCAUCAUGGCCUCCGGCCCCAAAGAGCACUGCAGCCAGGAUGGAGAGGAGACUCAAGGGAGAAAAGAAGACGAUCUCAUGGUGAGGUCAUAGCUCAUCUUGUUAAAGACAUCAAAGCAGAAGGGGGGGCCCGGGUGGCUCAGUCGGUUAAGUGUCCAACUCUCGAUUUCAGCUCAGGUCAUGAUCUCACAGUUCGUGAGUUCGAGCCCUGCAUCGGGUUCUGCACUGGCGGCACGGAGCCUGCUGGAAUUCUCUCUCUGUGUGUGUCCGUCCCCUGCUCUCUCUCACACACUCUCUCUCUCUCUCAAGAUAAAUAAAUAAACCUUAAAAAAAAAAAGACAUCAAAGCAGAACCGAUCAUUCCUUCACUGAGUUCUGGAAUACAAGUGCACACACAACAAAAAUGCACAUGCAACCAGCACUAUUUAGCAGUUUAUUUCACGUUAGGCAAAGAGUUACUUCUAUCUCAUGAAAUCAAAAUGCUCUAAGAGGGGCUUUAUGGAAGCAAAAAGAACACAGAUUUGGAACAAAAUGCCUUUCCAUCUCUGCCACAAUCUAGCCUCAUGACCCUAGGAGAGUUACUUCAGUUCUCCUGGUCUCUCCUUUCUCUCUGGCAGUGGC